rnacentral:rRNA from 1 species
CCUACGGGUGGCAGCAGUGAGGAAUAUUGGUCAAUGGACGCAAGUCUGAACCAGCCAUGCCGCGUGCAGGAAGAAGGCUCUAUGAGUUGUAAACUGCUUUUGUACGAGGGUAAACGCAGAUACGCGUAUCUGUCUGAAUGUAUCGUACGAAUAAGGAUCGGCUAACUCCGUGCCAGCAGCCGCGGUAAUACGGAGGAUUCAAGCGUUAUCCGGAUUUAUUGGGUUUAAAGGGUGCGUAGGCGGUCGGAUAAGUUAGAGGUGAAAUCCCGAGGCUCAACCUCGGAAUUGCCUCUGAUACUGUGCGGCUAGAGAGUAGUUGAGGUAGGCGGAAUGUAUGGUGUAGCGGUGAAAUGCUUAGAGAUCAGACAGAACACCGAUUGCGAAGGCAGCUUACCAAGCUACUUCUGACGUUGAGGCACGAAAGCGUGGGGAGCAAACAGGAUUAGAUACCCUGGUAGUC